UGAUUCUUUUGCAUGUAGCAGUUCCAAAGUGUAUUGAUUGGCAUCAUUUUCGGUUCCUUCGUUAUCCCUUUUGGAUUUCUCGAAACUAAUGUUUUCAUCUAAAGUUUUAGAUUUUUGUUUCAAAUCAUCAAGUUGAGCUUGAAGAGAUCCGAGAACUGACUCUCUUGAACGUUUAGCAUCGGAGGGAAAAGACCAGUAGUA